GAACUUAGCAGAGAUUGCUUUUGGUGCCUUCGGGAACUCUGAGACAGGUGCUGCAUGGCUGUCGUCAGCUCGUGUUGUGAAAUGUUGGGUUAAGUCCCGCAACGAGCACAACCCUUAUCCUUUGUGCCAGCGGUUAGGCCGGGAACUCAAAGGAGACUGCCAGUGAUAAACUGGAGGAAGGUGGGGAUGACGUCAAGUCAUCAUGGCCCUUACGAGUAGGGCUACACACGUGCUACAAUGGCGCAUACAAAGAGAAGCGACCUCGCGAGAGCAAGCGGACCUCAUAAAGUGCGUCGUAGUCCGGAUUGGAGUCUGCAACUCGACUCCAUGAAGUCGGAAUCGCUAGUAAUCGUGGAUCAGAAUGCCACGGUGAAUACGUUCCCGGGCCUUGUACACACCGCCCGUCACACCAUGGGAGUGGGUUGCAAAAGAAGUAGGUAGCUUAACCUUCGGGAGGGCGCUUACCACUUUGUGAUUCAUGACUGGGGUGAAGUCGUAACAAGGUAAGCGUAGUGCU
rnacentral:rRNA from 1 species